rnacentral:rRNA from 1 species
GAUGAACGCUGGCGGCGUGCCUAAUACAUGCAAGUCGAGCGAACAGACGAGGAGCUUUCUCCUCUGACGUUAGCGGCGGACGGGUGAGUAACACGUGGAUAACCUACCUAUAAGACUGGGAUAACUUCGGGAAACCGGAUCUAAUACCGGAUAAUAUAUUGAACCGCAUGGUUCAAUAGUUCAAGACGGUUUUGCUGUCACUUAUAGAUGGAUCCGCGCCGCAUUAGCUAGUUGGUAAGGUAACGGCUUACCAAGGCAACGAUGCGUAGCCGACCUGAGAGGGUGAUCGGCCACACUGGAACUGAGACACGGUCCAGACUCCUACGGGAGGCAGCAGUAGGGAAUCUUCCGCAAUGGGCGAAAGCCUGACGGAGCAACGCCGCGUGAGUGAUGAAGGUCUUCGGAUCGUAAAACUCUGUUAUUAGGGAAGAACAAAUGUGUAAGUAACUAUGCACGUCUUGACGGUACCUAAUCAGAAAGCCACGGCUAACUACGUG